rnacentral:rRNA from 1 species
AACACAUGCAAGUCGUGCGAGAAAGUCGAACUUCGGUCGAUGAGUAGAGCGGGCAACGGGUGAGUAACACGUGGGUAACCUGCCUAGGAGCGGGGGAUAACCUGGGGAAACUCGGGCUAAUACCGCAUACGUUCUCGGCGCUAUGGCGCUGAGAGGAAAGCUGGCCUAUUCUUGAAAGCUGGCACUCCUAGAGGGGCCCGCGUUCGAUUAGCUUGUUGGUGGGGUAACGGCCUACCAAGGCUGCGAUCGAUAGCCGGCCUGAGAGGGCGAUCGGCCACACUGGGACUGAGACACGGCCCAGACUCCGUACGGGAGGCAGCAGGUGGGGAAUAUUGGACAAUGGGCGCAAGCCUGAACCAGCAACGCCGCGUGGAGGACGAAGGCCGUUCGGGUCGUAAACUCCUGUCAGUUGGGAACGAAAAGCCGUCGGUCAAUAGCCGGCGGUCCUGACGGUACCAGCAGAGGAACGCCCCGGCUAACUCCGUG